GGGGAGAUUCAGCCCCGUCCGCGAAGGUCGGCCCCCGGGCGGUUGCUCCCGGAUGCUCCCGGCCGCCGGUCGUGCCGAAAGGUGCGCGCUGGUGUGAGUCGGGGGCACCGGCCGCCCGGGGUCUAAAGCCGCGGCCGCGGCGGGGUGCACUUCUGGCCCCAAGUUGGACGUCGCGACCCGUUGGACGAGUCUACGGACGAUGCGGCCUAAGGCCCGGGACUGAGACCGAGGGUGCUUCCGCUGAGGCGCGGGUCCAAGGUGCCCUCGGACCCCGGUUAAAGCCCGGCCGCCCUCCGACGGUCUUUACUAAUGGGAGGAUAAAGGCCGGCUACCCUCGCUCCUCGCAAGGGGGGCGGGGCGCGAGCGUCCGGCCCGUUGGGGCAAGCUCUCCGGGGGUUCAAGCCGGGUGUGUGUGGCUCUCGUCACGCCCCCGGCCCCCGGCAGGCUGUUGGCCCCCGGUGCCCUCGGACCUCUAUCGGCCACUCCAGUCGGCGGCGCUUAAGAUUCGGGUGCUCUCCCGACCCGUCUUGAAA
rnacentral:rRNA from 1 species